rnacentral:tRNA from 2 species
GGGGCGGUAGCUCAAUUGGUAGAGCACCUGCUUUGCAAGCAGGAGGUCGUCGGUUCGAUCCCGAUCCGCUCCA